AGGCAGGAAAGAAAGCAGAAGAAAGAAGGAAAAAGAAAUAAAGGUAGAGGGAGAAUAAAGAAUAAAGGAGAGGGAGGAAGAGGGAUAAUUAGAGAAGAAAGUGGACGCAGACUCCUGGCUCCCUGGCCUAACACCAACAACCCCCCCAUCCCAGGUGAUGUGGCCCGGGUCUGGGACCCGAGGACCAGCUUCUCUGCAGCAGCUGAGGAAGCUGGAGAAGGACUUCUUCCCACACUCCUCCUUCCCCCUCCCUGCCUUGCUGGUGUGCAGCAGGCUAUUCAGCAUUGAGGCUCCAAGACACUUGGGUCAAGAUCUGGAUCCAAAACCAGUAUAUGAAGUAGAAGAAGCUGAUAAGGGAGGGCCUGGGCACAUAUUCCUGUGCUGGUGCUGAUGCCCUCUUUCUCUGGCUCUGACCCUUCACCCCCAGCUCCUGGGAACUCUACUGUGGCCCUGCUGGCCCUGGCUGUCUGAAGACCGGGCUGAUUUGCUGGGCCGUAGUUGAUCAUCUGCCAUAUGAGCCCUUUGCACUGAAUGAUUGUUCUGUAAUUUUGGUUAGCCUUCUUGAGUGUGUUCAAGCAAGAGCAGGAAGAAGAUAAGACCUGGUCCACUUUGGGUCUGAGGAGAUCUUCAUUUUCUCCCAUUGAUGACAACAAAAAUCUAUCCUUAGCAAAAUCGUUGCUAUCCUUAUCUCCACCCCUACCCCAGAAAAACCACCCAAUCAAGGGAUUUCUCCAUGCCAGGAAGGGUUGAGUUCAACCCUUAGUGUAAGUUUGCAAACCCUGGAAGAGCCAGAGAAAGAGAAUGAGGAAGGUCCCUACCAGGACAU
rnacentral:lncRNA from 1 species